AGUUAAACAGUACGUGAAAUUGUUGAAAGGGAAACGAUUGAAGUCAGUCAUACUAACGGGAAAUCAACCUCUUGAGUUUGGUCUCGUGGGUUUCGAAGAGUUUAAAAGCCUUCGGAUUUUCGAGAUUGGGCUCUUCUGGUGUACUUUCUCGUACGGUUAGUCAACAUCGGUUUUGAAUGUCAUAAAAUGACUGAAGGAAUGUGGCUUCGAUCUCGUAUUGAAGUGUUAUAACCUUUGGUAGAUGUGAUGUUUGAGACCGAGGAUUGCAACGGAUACCCUUCUGGGCUAUUCGUCUGAUCUCUGAAACGUUGCCUUGAUGUCGAAAGCUUGCUUAUGAUGUUAGGGUAUUACGGUCAAAAGGUUAGAACGGAUUAAAUUCGUUAAGGAUGUUGACGUAAUGACUUUAAA
rnacentral:misc_RNA from 1 species